rnacentral:lncRNA from 1 species
AUUGUCGUCAUUUUGGCUGUGAGGACUUGCGUUUUCCGAACCUUCGAGUGCCCGAGUGUGGAAAAUGUCAUGUGCCCAAAUUUCUAGGGUUUGCUUGGACGUAAUAGUCGGUGUAUUGCUUUGCUCGUGGGUGACUUGCCCCAUGUUGUAGGAGUUCUUCAAUAUCAUAUUGCAAACGAAACAAGUACACAAUAAAAUAAUAAAAACAAAACCCUAAA